rnacentral:rRNA from 1 species
AAAUUGAAGAGUUUGAUCAUGGCUCAGAUUGAACGCUGGCGGCAGGCCUAACACAUGCAAGUCGAACGGUAACAGGAAGCAGCUUGCUGCUUCGCUGACGAGUGGCGGACGGGUGAGUAAUGUCUGGGAAACUGCCUGAUGGAGGGGGAUAACUACUGGAAACGGUGGCUAAUACCGCAUAACGUCGCAAGACCAAAGAGGGGGACCUUCGGGCCUCUUGCCAUCAGAUGUGCCCAGAUGGGAUUAGCUGGUUGGUGAGGUAACGGCUCACCAAGGCGACGAUCCCUAGCUGGUCUGAGAGGAUGACCAGCCACACUGGAACUGAGACACGGUCCAGACUCCUACGGGAGGCAGCAGUGGGGAAUAUUGCACAAUGGGCGCAAGCCUGAUGCAGCCAUGCCGCGUGUAUGAAGAAGGCCUUCGGGUUGUAAAGUACUUUCAGCGGGGAGG